UACGUAGGGGGCUAGCGUUUUCCGGAUUUUUUGGGCGUAAAGAGCGUGUAGGCUGCCUGGUAGGUCUGCUGUGAAAACUCGAGGCUCAACCUCGAGAUGUCGGCGGAAACCAUCUGGCUAGAGUCCGGAAGAGGAGAGUGGAAUUCCUGGUGUAGCGGCGAAAUGCGCAGAUAUCAGGAAGAACACCUAUGGCGAAGGCAGCUCUCUGGGACGGUACUGACGCUGAGACGCGAAAGCGUGGGGAGCGAACAGG
rnacentral:rRNA from 1 species